AAGCCACCCGAGUCCUCUCUUCUUCCUUGUGCAGCCGCCCAAGAGGGAGAGAGAGGGAGAGAGAGAGGGAGGGAGCCGUCGGUGCCGGAUUUCUUUUUCGGGUGAUAUUCUUCCUCUGUUUGCCGCCGGAAGGGAGCCGCCGGAUCUUCGCCGGGGCUGAGGUUCUGCGAGGGAUUUGUGAGAUUAAUUGGAUUUGUUGUGGAUCGCGUUCGAUAUCCGAAGAAUUAGCUCGAUCCGGGGUUUUACAAUAUGGGAGUGCGAAUAAAAGAAUUAUGGCUCAAGUUAUCUUAGAUUAGGUUUUUAUUUAAUUUAAUGUUCCAUCUUUAUUGUUCCGCUGCGUAUUUAGAAUUGUGAGACUUUAUAAUUUAUGUCAGUCAAUGGAAUAAGAUUGCAUUUAUUUCAGUUGA